rnacentral:sRNA from 1 species
GUCGGGCAUGGUGUCACAUGCCUGUAAUCCCAGCAGCUCAGGAGGCUGAAGCAGGAGGAUUGAGAAUUUAAAGCCAGCCUCAGCAGUGAGGCUCUAGGCAACUCACUGAGAUACUGUCUCUU